CUCUUUAUAUUGGGAGCUCGAUGAGAUCGACCCUAACCGAGCCUAGAUAUCGAGAUUUGGUUCGGGUCAAUCUCAUCAAUCUCCCAAUACUUUACA
rfam:Arabidopsis lyrata subsp. lyrata unplaced genomic scaffold ARALYscaffold_8, whole genome shotgun sequence.